AUGUGUGGAACUACACUACAGCACUAUCUGUUUCUCUGUUUGUCAGUGAGUUUUUGCUGGCAGCUGUCCAACUCUGGGUCUACAAUACAUGGAGAGGUCCAGUCCCCUCUGUAUCCCCGGCCUUACCUUCCCAACCUGCUGAGGCAAUGGGACGUCUGGGUUCCCGAGGGCUACGUGAUCCAGCUGUCCAUAACACACCUGGAUAUUAAAGCUUCCUCAGGCUGCUACCAAGACUCUUUGACGGUUCUCUAUGAUCAAAAUGUCUUGGGGAAGUUUUGUGGCCAGGAAAAUUCAACUGAUCACCCAGGCAAAGAGCCGAUCCUUUCUCAAGGCAACAAACUGACUCUCAUAUUCCAAACAAGUGACUUCAAUACAAAACUCCAACAGCACAUUGGCUUCUCUGCUACCUACAAGGCAAUAGACUUGGAUGAGUGUUCCCAACCAGACCCUGGAGAUGACUCAGGUCCACUCUGCUCUCACAUCUGUGUAAACACCCCUGGUUCUUACCGCUGCUCCUGUCACCAUGGUUACAAACUUCAUUUAGACCAACACACAUGUUUGAUGUCCUGUGGUGGUUGUAUAUUUGACAAGAAUAAGGGACAUCUGGCCAGUCCGAGAUACCCUCACCCCUCACCACCUUUGCUGUCCUGCUUAUACAUCAUCACCGUGGAGCCCAGCUUAACUGUGACUCUCAACUUCACUGACAGCUUCCACAUAGAUAGCAUGGACACUGAACAAGGUCCCAGCUGUGUACGUCACUGGCUGCAGGUGUCCAUACCAGACAGAGAGCCCAUGAAGCUGUGUGGUGGAAAGAGUCCAGGCCUGAUAGCUACAAACUCCAACACUGUCAGACUGGACUACCACACUGAUGAUGAAGGCCUGAGUCGUGGCUGGAGCCUGGACUACAGUACAUACAAAGUCAAAUGUCCAUUUCAGGAGCAUGUGUCCAAACACUGUGUAUCCUGUCUAAACUAAAUAUUUUUACAGUGUUUACAUCUAUGUAACCUGUGACCAAGGAUACAAGAUGACGAUGGUUUGAUGUUUUUUCUUUAACUGGCAAAAUAUGAAUAUAUCCCUGUUUUUGUUCUUCUGCAGAAAUUGAUUGUGGAGAACCUGAACCUUUGCUGAAUGGAGGGGUGAUCUUCCUGUCUGGCUUUCAGUAUCAGUACCGUUCUGUUAUUCAGUAUCACUGUAAUGAACCAUUUUACACUCUCCCUGGUGGCAUUAAUGUUACUUUCACCUGUGAAGCAGACAGAAAGUGGAGAUCCAACCACAACGAUGUAACUCCAACAUGUAUACCUGUCUGUGGCAAGCCCACAAAACUCAUCUCUGCCUAUCAGAGGAUCAUUGGAGGCAGUGACGCUCCAGAUGAUACCAUCCCCUGGCAAGUGCUAAUGAAUAUAGAUGGGGCCAGAGGGGGAGGCAUGGUGAUAGGAGACCGCUGGAUUAUGACUGCAGCUAACGUAAUGAGUAAAGGAAAUCAAGUAUCAAAAGAGACUGUGCGAAUGUAUAUGGGACUUACUGAUUUGAAAACCCAGUUAGUCUCUCCUGUGUAUGCUGCCUCAAUCCACAUUCAUCCUGAAUACAACAACCCCAAUAAUGUAGACUUUAACCAUGACAUUGCCUUGAUCAAACUGCAAGACGUGAUCACAUUCAACUCAUCCAUCAUGCCAAUAUGUUUGCCAGCAGAGGGUGCCACAUACGUCACUGGCGUGAUGGGACUGGUGUCAGGGUUUGGCAUUACAGAAAGGGCCGGGAGACAGGUUUUAACAAGUAAGAUGAAUUAUGUGCAAUUACCUGUGGUGGAUAAGGAGACAUGCAGUAAAUCAAUCACUUCGUUGAAGAAGACAAGGGACAAUGUUCCAAGUCUGUCAAACAACAUGUUCUGUGCUGGAGUCCCUGAAGGUGGGCAGGACUCCUGCCAGGGUGACAGUGGAGGCCCCUACGCCCUAAGAGACGACGGAAGGUUCUGGGCUGCUGGGAUUGUCAGCUGGGGGGUUGACUGUGGAAAGCAGGGAACAUAUGGAGUCUAUACCAGAGUCACCAACUACAUGGAGUGGAUCAACAAGACUAUGCAGGAGAACUGA